rfam:Poecilia formosa, whole genome shotgun sequence.
CCAACGGCUCUUUUAAGAGCCACCUACUUCCGUCUGAAGGGUCAAA